CUCCGGCUGGCUGGCUGGUUGGUACACCCAAUACUCUUGCCGAGCGCACGGCCGCGUGUCAGUUUGCGUCCCACCGUCGUCACGGGCUUUACAGCAGACCUUUUGCGCCGAGCGCACACCUCUUUUUUUUUUUUUUUUAUACAUAUAUACACAUAUUUCAAGUAUAUCAUACGCGUACAGGUCGACUGGCGUAUGUAGCCCGCGGGAUCGGUAUCGUUCGGUAUUGUGUAGUGUCGUCGUUCGUGGAGCGUGGUAUUUUUGGUUAUUUUUUCGGUUUCGAGUAACAUAUGUGUACCGAUCUUCGGGAAAUCGGCAGCCGAUCGGUCGAUUUGCGCGUCCCGGGAUCCCUGUUUUUGCGAGUGAGUGAGUUUUAUGCAUAUCUGUGCUGUGUUGGACGACGAUUUGCAAGGCCAUACGUUACGUGGAACGUGUAAAACGCUGCCACUGCUGGGUGCAAGUGCCUAUUGUACAGGCAUAUAUACGUACCAUUGGCCCUGGUGCUGGUGAUCCUUAGUGCGCAAUUCGUGGGCUGGCGAGUUGGUAUGCUUUCAUAGGUGUACCGUCGCACGGAUACAAAGCGCCGUACACGUAUAUGUGUAACGUGUAAUCUUUCACUCGGGAAAACGCCGAUGGCCAGUUGGCUGCACCACCACUGACACCCGAGCCUCGUCCCUUUUCCUCCUUCGGGAGUAAAGAACCCAUAAAAGAAUCACGCGCUGGAAACGCGUUGGAGCGAAGCCCUCGCCGACACUGCCGCUGAGCUGUGAAAAUGUGCGUUAGGUGAACAAAAAGAAAAAAAAGAAAAAAGAAUCGGGGACCUUGGAAAAAAAGGAGAGGACAAACAAUCCGACCUGCACCCAUGCGUUGAAACGCAAAAAGAGGCAUAGAGAGCGGGAAGAAAAAGGUCUCGUCAAGAGGGAGAGGGAAAAAGAGGAUAAGGAAAAAAAAAAAGAGGGGAAAAAAAAAUGCGCAACGGCGCUCAGUCCCAGCAAACGGCGGUGAUGAGCCCGACGCACUUGAAUGGCUCGGCGCAGUUUCCGGGUGGCGCCUACUACCCCCAGUCCCGGCACUCUUGGGGCCAGUUUCCGGUGACGCACCGCAAUGCCGGCGUGAACGUAGUGCCCGGCGGUGGUGGUAGGCCCCUGUCCCAUCCGCCGCCACCGCCACCACCACCCUCUCGGCGCGAGAUACAGAGAGCCGCGGCGAUACAGCAGCAGAUGAAGCAGCCGGCGUCCCAGCAGCAGCACAACAGGCCCACGUUGCUCCAACAGGCCAGGUGUGCCACGCCCUCGAAGGUGGACCCCGAGCUGAUAUUCACGAAACAGGAGAGGAUCGGCAAAGGUAGCUUCGGCGAGGUGUUCAAGGGCAUCGACAACCGCAGCCAACAGGUCGUCGCCAUAAAGAUCAUCGACCUCGAGGAAGCCGAGGAUGAGAUCGAGGACAUACAACAGGAGAUCAUGGUCCUGUCGCAGUGCGACAGUCCCUUCGUCACCAAGUACUAUGGAUCCUACCUCAAGGGCACAAAGUUGUGGAUCAUUAUGGAAUAUCUGGGCGGCGGCUCGGCACUGGACCUCAUGAAGGCCGGGAGUUUCGAGGAGAUGCACAUAGCGGUCAUCCUCAGGGAGGUACUCAAAGGCCUCGACUAUCUUCACAGCGAGCGUAAGCUGCAUCGCGAUAUUAAAGCGGCGAACGUUCUGCUAAGUGAGAUGGGCGACGUAAAGCUGGCGGAUUUCGGAGUCGCGGGCCAGCUGACGAAUACCACCAGUAAGCGCAACACUUUCGUCGGCACGCCUUUUUGGAUGGCACCGGAGGUUAUCAAACAGUCCGCCUACGAUUCCAAGGCGGACAUCUGGUCACUGGGUAUAACGGCGAUCGAGCUCGCCAAAGGCGAGCCGCCCAACAGCGACUUGCACCCCAUGAGGGUGUUGUUCCUCAUACCGAAGAACAACCCGCCCCAGCUGACCGGCAACUACACCAAGCAGUUCAAGGAGUUUGUCGAGGCUUGUCUAAACAAGGACCCCGAGAACAGGCCGACGGCAAAGGAGCUGCUAAAGUUCCAAUUCAUCCGCAAGGCGAAAAAGAACUCGUACCUGAUUGACCUGAUCGACAGAUACAAGAAGUGGAAGUCGCAGCGCAGCGAGGAAUCCGAGACGGAGAGUGAGAAUUCAGACUCGGAAGAGUCCAAGCAGGACAGCGACAUGGACGAGCCGUGGAUAAUGACAGUUAAAGGACCGCACGGGCUGAAGGGACCCUCGAUGUUGCCCGUGGCGUUGCGCGAAGAUCCAAUGCCACAGCAGCAACAACAAUCUCGUACGUCAUCGAACGCUAAUCAUACGCCAAACCACAGGCCCCAGCAGCGGGAACAGGAGCCGAGCAAGCCGCACGCGAACGGUGCCUCCAGGUCCCCGCCCAAGGAGUCCAAUGUCAAUCACUACAAGAACGACUCCAGGGACAUUUCCAUACAGAACAAGCACACCCCGUCUCGGACGCACGAGGGAACGCCAAAGGUGUCGUCGGUGGUGGACAACAGCGGUCGCGACUAUCACGACUCGUCGAGCCGAGAAUCGACGUUGCGGAGCUCCAACAAGGACAGGGACAAUGUGCUGCGUCGCCGCGAACGCGACAACGAGGAAAACAGCAGCAACGCCGUGAGCAACAGCCGAGAACAGCGCGAGCGGAAAACCAAGUCCGAGGUGCUCGUGGAGCAUCGCAACGAGGAAAAACCACAGCUAAGGGAUCACCACCACCACCAACAGCAGCUACAGAGACCGAGGAGCUCGCAGGAACUCAAACAUCCGCGUAGUCCCAUCGUCAACGGCGUCAUUUUUCCACUACUGUCUGAUUUGCAGCGUAGAUACCAGUACGCUGCGAGGGACAAUGGCGACGCCAGCAAUUCCAGUAGACAUGUCGGUGCGCUGGACGAGCUGAGAGGUGCCUUCGAAGUCGCGGAGAGAACGUCGCCAGGGAUGAGCGAGAGUUUCGUCAAGGAGAUAUUCAAAGCGCUGCUCCCGACCAAUCAUUCAGACGCUCGGCUUUCCAUGCUGAUGGAAAAGGUCGUUUUAAAGGAUACGUAGGGACGUGAGAGGGCGAGGAUUCGCAGAAAACUGUUGUCGGAUAAUCCGUUGACCCUUUAAGAAGUGGCGAGUCGCGCAGAACCAGCUCCACACCCGGAAGAUCCUGAUGCAGCGCGAUCAUCUGACCACUAUACCUUCCGGAUGUCGGACGUCACGCCUGAUCUGCCCAGGAUCGCGUGCGUUGCGCCUGCAACUAGGUUUUCGUUCAUCUCUCUCUCUCUUUUUUUUUUUUUUUUUAGUUUUCGCUUCUUCCGUUGCAUCUGUUAAGAGUAAUCGUAAAAAGUGAUAAGAGCUAAGUUGUUAAGGGAAUUUGAUGAAUGCUUUCCAGCUGCGUCACGACGUUUUUCUUUUGUUUUGGAGAACAUUUCUUUAAAUCUCUUUUUUUUUUUUUCCUUUUUUCAAUGAUUAGGUAUAGUUGUUGAAAGUUCGUACGAUUGGACGUUCCAACGAGAUAGAGGGUCAGUAAAUUUGUUGACUUGUUCUUGCCUCAUUGCAGAAUUGUAUCCGGAAUUCGCGUUAGUGUAUGUCGCGUAGUCGCCUCGGACGAUACAUUUUUUUUUCUACAUAGAGGGUACACGCGUUUGUGAUUAUUUUAGAUGAAUUAUGAAAAGUAAUUAUUGAUUUGCGUUUUGAUUAAAGUAUUAUUGUUGCAGUGCCAAAUGUUUUAGAUUCUCUGAUUAAAUGUUAAUACAGAAUGUAACGUUUUAAAAAAUAUUUAAAAAAUUAAAACCUUAAGUACAAAAUAUUAAAGAAAAAAAAAAGAAAAAGAAAAAAAAGAACAUUAUAAAAUAUAGCUAUUAUGAGACAAGUAGUCCAUAGAUAAUACUGACAAAAAAUAAAUGAAGAUAAAUUUUUAGAUAUUAAUGAGAAAGUGUAUUAGCGUGCGUAACGUGCUUUUUAAGACAAACAAAUAAACAAAAAGUAGACAUUGAUUCCAAAAAGUUUAACCUAUUUUUCCACUCGCGUAGCAUUUAGACACCUGAUUAUUUUUCAUAAUUCAUGAAUGUAAAAUAAAGAUGAUGUUAAAGACUGCCUCAGAUCUUUCCUUUCGCUCUUCGUGUAGCUGAACGACGAAGUGUCUCAGACUCUCGUGCGAUUUUUAGUAAAAGUAAACGAUAGCUUCUGCAGAUAAUAGUAAUAACAAUAAAAAUAACCUAACGUUUUGAGAAAAUAAUAGCGAACAUAACUCGGAGCAAUGUUAGUGGCAUGCUUUGUUAAUUUUUAAUAUAAAUAUUAAAGCAAAAUAGACGAAUUGAUCAAGCAAGCGAAAUAAUGCGCAUUCUGGAUUCCGUUAAAGAAAGACAAUGAAAUCAGAAGUAGGGAAAAAAAAAAAAAAAAAAAAAAAAAGAAGAAGAAACUUUGGCCUCGUUACUAGAGGCUUUGUAAAUAUGUAUUUAGGACGUUAAAAAAUAUAGAAAUAUCUUGUUCUAACUGUCGACGUGCCUGCUGAAUCGUCCUGAUAAUCGUCCGCAUUGUAAAAGGUGAAGAAUGUAAGAAAGAGAAAUAGAGUGUUAACAGGACGUAUACUCAAAAUAGUCAAGGGAGCAAAGUGAUUUAAUUUUUGCAAUUCACAAAGUUAUAGAAAUAAACCUUAAGCCAACUGUUGUUAAUUGUAAACGUGAAACAUGAACUACAAGCAGAACAUAUUUUACAAUCCAACAUCAUUGGGUUUUAGUUUGUAAGGAUUCGAGCCUUCAUUUCUAUUGGAUUGUGCAUGUCAUUUUACUGUAAUGGUAUUUUUCAAAAUCAUUUGAUUCUUUUCGAAUGGCUUUAAAAUAAAGUAUGUAAUAAAAGACAAUACAAAGUUAAAACAAAAACAAACCAUGCCAUUUGCUGGAGUACAUUAUUUUUCGCGUAUCACGCAAGUUCCCACGUGUAUUAAAACGUUGUGCAGGUCGUCGAUGUUUAAAAAAAAAAAA
rnacentral:misc_RNA from 1 species